rnacentral:rRNA from 1 species
AUUGAACGCUGGCGGCAUGCUUUACACAUGCAAGUCGAACGGUAACAGGCCGCAAGGUGCUGACGAGUGGCGAACGGGUGAGUAAUGCAUCGGAACGUGCCCAGUCGUGGGGGAUAACGCAGCGAAAGCUGCGCUAAUACCGCAUACGAUCUAUGGAUGAAAGCGGGGGACCGUAAGGCCUCGCGCGAUUGGAGCGGCCGAUGUCAGAUUAGGUAGUUGGUGGGGUAAAGGCUCACCAAGCCGACGAUCUGUAGCUGGUCUGAGAGGACGACCAGCCACACUGGGACUGAGACACGGCCCAGACUCCUACUGGAGGCAGCAGUGGGGAAUUUUGGACAAUGGGCGCAAGCCUGAUCCAGCAAUGCCGCGUGCAGGAAGAAGGCCUUCGGGUUGUAAACUGCUUUUGUGCGGAACGAAACGACUCUGGUUAAUACCUGGGGCUAAUGACGGUACCGUAAGAAUAAGCACCGGCUAACUACGUGCCAGCCGCCGCCGUAACAC